rnacentral:lncRNA from 1 species
CCAACUUUACCUGCUCCGCCGGGAUCGCCGACGCGGCCGCCGCUCGCCGCCGGCACGUUGGCUCUGACCGGAGCCACCAGGGUAAAGUUGCUUCUCCUCCUCAUAGAACUUGGGAAGGUGAGCUCGGCAGCAGCUUCCUUCUCCUCCCCUGUCGUCACCUCCCUCCCGAUGGCCGCCACUUUCGCCGUCCCAAGAUUGAAGCUUGGCGGGAGACCGGCGGCCACCAGGCCAUGACUGUUGCCAUCCCCAGAGAGUCCGAGGGCGGCCUUGUGCAUCCUCAGCUCUCUGUACCAGUCGAUCCCGGUCGCCGCCGCCGGCUCUGCGGCGUCGGGAGCUAUUUCCUUGGCCGCGCAGCCGUCGUCCACGCGCACCGACCGCUUCCCGGAGCACGUGCGCAUGAGCACGCCGACCUGGACGCAGCACUUUUUGUCGCGGGGGGGACUGCGCCGUCGACGGAGCCCGCCCCGGAAGAGCGCCGUCUGGCUGUUGGCGCUGGACGCCGCCGAGCUCGCGGUGAAGCUCGCCGUCGACGCGCGCGUCGAAGACGGCUUAGCCAUUACCACGGCCUCCGCUGCUGGCCUCGCAGCGGCCGUCUCCACCAACGGCUGCUGCACCUGCACCGCUCCCGCGGGGAAGGUGACACCAAAACCUUCCUUGCGGUCGUCCCCGUCGUCGUCCAUUGCGCCUCUGAAGUAGCGCUCGGCGGAGAACACGUCAAGCUCGCCGUCAGCGUACGUGCGCCGCCGGCUCGCCAUGGCAUGCGCCGGCAACGGCCGCGGCGCCGCGCGGCCAACGUCGGCGUUCCGGCCCAUGUCAAGGUACGACGACAGGGAGCUGCCGUUCCAGCGCCUCCCGCUGAUGGCGUCGUCGAAGCUGACCACCUUGCCGCCACCAUUUCCCGAUCGCCCCAUCUCCAUGGUGCAGUGCAAGUGCAGCCAACACACACCAGUACAUACAAGGAUGAAGAAAAUGGUGUGGCCAAAGGAGAUGUUGUGAAUAGGCGCACUUAUAUAGACAUCACAGUACACAUCACCAAAAUAAAAAUGAAGAUAAAAAUUAUAUGGACACAUGAAUUUCACCAACUGUUCAUGUACGAAAACUACUACUAUUAUUAUCAUAAUAAUUCAAUUCAACGGAGAAAUAAACCUAAUUGCCAAUUUUGUCUGCAUGAUGGAAUAACUGCAACGGCAACAGGGAGGAGAUGAGGAGGCUGCAGGCCUGCAGCCUGCAGUGAAGUUUGUUCUGCUGGAGCACCGAUGGCCAUAUAUAUGUUUCUUUAAUUAAUUUAGCAACGUUUGAUGAUCCAAAAUUGAAAAUGAGACGGUAGCUGCUGCCUUUGACAUGAUCCAUCCUCCCUGACACUCAUGCUAACAACUAAAUUUGAAACUGUUGUGCAGCAUGACUCCGACAGUGACCCUGCUGCGAAGGCGACAAGGAAACCGUUGCUGUUCGUCGUCAGGGAAAAAGAAAAGGGCAACGAUGGCCGUUUCCUGUCCAUGAUCUGCCAAUGAGACACCAAAGAAAUUUCAACAACAGUGAUGCUUUUCGUCUCCAGGUAACACUUGGGAUGCAUGAUAGGAAGGGUCUUUAUCUUGCGAGAUGCUAAUUUCCCGGGGGGAAAUUAUCAAAUAUGUGAAUUUACGAACCGGAUUUUCCGAAUCAGGAGGCCAACCGCACAAGGUACUAUCUAUCUGGAACAGUGGUAGGAGCAAGACAGUCGGGUGUUUUAUGCAACAGUUGAGCUGUAGGCGUGUACCAU